GUGAUUCCUGGGUGCCUGCAACUGACUCCCGCUGAAAUCUGGGCGUGGUUGGAGAGUAGCUGGGACACACAGGAGAGUCCCUGAGGGCUGGGGGUGAAGACAUGAGAGAGACCGGGGAGUAACUCAGUGAAACUGGUGAGUUUGGUGGUGAUUCCGGGGUGCCUGGAACUGACUCCAGCUGCAAUCUGGGCGUGGUUGGAGAGUAGCCGGGACAGACAGGAGAGUCCCUGAGGGCUGGUGAAGAC
rnacentral:lncRNA from 10 species